CAUUUACGUGGUGGAGAAUGUAAAGAAUGUAUUGGUGAAGAGGGAAAAAAACCACCUCCUGGUCCUCAACCACCUGUGCCUCCUCCAAAAAGGACAGAAAGACACAAAGGAUCGCGAUCGAAACCAGUAGGUAUAUGUGCUGCUGUCACUGCGAUAAUUUUGAUUGCCAUCAUAACUUUCUUCUGUUAUCGAUAUAAAAAAAGAAAAGAUGAUUCCUCCAACCUUCUCCCAAGAAACACUUCUGCUGAUCUAUUCUCAAAAUCAGAUAGGGAAGGGAGCAAUAUCUUCUUUGGGGUCUCCGUCUUCUCGUACACUGAACUUGAAG
rnacentral:misc_RNA from 1 species